rnacentral:lncRNA from 1 species
AAUACAAGUGUUGUUAUUAUUUUUAAGGAAAAGUAAACUUAUUCAACUGUCAUUUACCGCAAUCCGUGUGUAAAUAACGUAAUAUUUAGCGCUGGAAAAAAAAAAAUUCGCAACAACGAAAUAUCGUUCCAUAGCAUUUUUCGGCAAGAUUACCAAAAACGACAUAUCGUUGCAUAGCAGCCAAAGGGUUAAAGUCUUAGGCGGCAGAAUUUUACAACACUGGAAUUUAAAAAUUAGUUCACCACUAUGACAAGCACCUAAAUUUAUAUGUUAAUUAUGUUGGAAAAUAGCAUUUUAAUGUCACUUUCAAAUGUAUAUAAUACAAUUUUUUUCUUGUAUUUUGUUUUUGUUUAUGUCAAAAUGUAAUCAUUCAAAGUUCUUGUUUCCUAGGAUACUCUAAUUUUUUUUCACUGUACACAAAAUUAUUUUACAAUUAAUUAAACAUACUGUACAAUUGGAAAAUAAUCCAAAUAGCUUUCAUCUUAACGUUAAAGUUCUUCAUCCUCGCACAAACCAUGAACCGGCAAAUAGUUUUUGAGCGUGGGAAAUAAUUACGUCUUCCACAUUUCCAUCACUAUCGCUGAUAUCAGAAUUGUACAGGUAAUCACUGCCUAAUAACAAAGCAACAACAGAGUUUCGCAGUUUAUUACACCCAUUACAAUUAAUUUCACAAUGAAACAAAAACAAAUGCAUCUAACUUCGCGUAUAGUAGCUGACACAUGCAUUCAUGACGGAUGUUCCAAAAAUCAGGUGGUAAAUUCAGUGCUGCCAGUAAUAAAACAAAAUUAAAUGUAAUAUCUUCUUAGUAAAGGAGUCAGUAAAUACCAUGGCAACAAUAUCUGUCAGAUAUUUUCAGAACUAGAACGGCCCAAACAAUAAAGAGUGGCUAGAAUAGACUAUGUACCUGGUACUUGUGUCUUCUUAAUGGGUUAACACUUGAUUAUAAGAGUUAGUUAAGAAGACUGUGAUUAGGGGUUUGUCCAUUAUCAAGUAAAGUACAUACAAUUAAAAGAAAAUGAACAGAAAAAGCAAUGUUAGGUAUCUCUUGACAAUUAUUGGUGUGCAACGUAGCAUUUACUUUGUAAUUUGUGUAUGAAGUAAAUUUUUGGUGCUAACGACAGUGUGCUGAAUGGAUUGAAGUUUUCCAAAAUGUCUGAUCUUUAUCUAAUCCCAUGUACUAUUAAUGGGAUUUUUAUUAAUUUCUAAAUUUAUUUAACAAGCAACAUAGUUAACCAUCCCUUUUAAUGGGAGUCGACUGGUUAACAACUGAAAAUCUAAAAUAGUAUGGUUAGUGGAAGGACAAAUUUAAAUAGAAGAAAAUAUAGUUCUCAUAGAAAAGGAAAAGACGGUGUUUAGAGAAAAAGUAAACAAAUUUACCACAAGAGUACCUAAUAUUUCAUGCAUAAAAACAGAUGUUCUACAUAGUAUACUUAAUGUACUAUAGUAUCUAUCAGGAUUACUCAUUUCAAUACCAAGAAUUUUUCUGUGACUGUCAAGAAUCCCAGUUUCUACCAUCAAGUAGUAUAUGUAUAGCAUCUCAUUGUAAUUUAUUAAAAUUUUACAAUUCAGCAAAAUAAUGCAUUAGGCUAUAUCUUUUUAGUUAUAUGUGGAUAUCCAUGCUUGUUUAUGUUUAUUUUGACCUAGAUUAUAACAUACAGUGACGAAGCUUAAUAAAAAUAUGCAAAAAACAUCCUUAAGAUUGAUUAAUCUAAUGAACUUACCAAUGCUACUUAUUAAGUAGGAAAUAACUCUUAAAAUUACCAACUUUACAGGAAGUUGAAAAUCUUUGUCAAAACCUUAUAUCUAUACAAAAGCUGUCCAGAAAGAAAAAUAUUUUAAAAACAAAGUUAAAAUGACAAUUUUUAUUAUUUGAAUUUUGAAGAUGAACUCUUAGGCUAUUUUUCUACAUAAUCGCCAUAUAAAUAAAACAUUUAUUAUAAUGUGGUACAAGCUUUUUAAUACCCUCUCUGUAGAAAUCUGCUGCCUACAAGUUCAACCACUAGUUUACACCGACAUCCAGUUGAGCAUCAGUGUCAAAUCAUUGCAUAGCAAGUUAAGGCUUCAUCACAACAUAGAUGGUAGUCACGAGAAAAGGUGGUAGUCGCUCAGGGCCAAAUCCGGGCUGUAUGGUGGAUGAUUGAAAACUUCCCAUCCAAGAGCUCUUGGUUACGAUUGGCUGUGUGUGUCAAGUUGUUGUGGAGAAACGAAACUUUCUUGCUGAGUUUUCUAACAUGCUUGCUUUGUAUUGCACAUCUUAAGGUUCUGAGGGUUUGGCAAUACCUAUCUGAGUUGACAGUUUGAUCAUGUUCAAGAAAAUCACUCCUUGAGUGUUUCAAAAUAUAGUAGCCAUGGUUUUUCUUGCCGACAGCGUUUGCAGAAACUUACUCAGUUUCUUGGGUUAAUGCAUGUGCCCCAUCCCAUCGACUGUCAUUUUGUUUUACAGUUGAUGUGCUGUACCUAAGUCUCGUUGCCGGUUCCAAUAUUAUUGAGACUUGGUUUCCACUUUUGUUCUAGUCUUCCAAAAAGUCAGUGCUGCAGCAAGUCUCUCUUUUUUGCGGUCUUCUGUUAGGAUUUUUGGAAUCCAUCUGGAACAAAAUUUUUAGUAACCAAGUUUACAAACCACAAUUUCAUGAACUAAACUCCGUGAAAUUUGGGUACUAUAUUCUGAGAGUUCCGUAAUCGUGAAAUGACGAUUUUAACAGAUUUUAUAAUUGAUUUUCACUAUUAAUUCAUCAUUCCAAGACUAAGCCUACCACUGUGAUGUUCAUGAACACUGGUUCGUCCAUUUAAAAAUCAAUGCACUACUGCCUCACUCAGCUUUCACUCAUUUUUUUUCCUUCCUGAGGGAAAAGGACAGUUUGUCCUAAAAGGACCUUUGCGCCUCCCUUACUUUAAUUUUGUAUCCUCAAAGUCCGAGGCUUUUGCACUCAUUAUUGUGAUUUUUCACCAACAAAACCCUUAUCACAGAUCGCAUUCUCAAUUGCAGUGCUUACUUCCACACUCCACUGUAUAUAAAGUACGAUAGGAGAUGCACAAUCUACCACAACUGGUUAGGUACUGCGUGUAGGAACACUUAUGCCAAAAUGGCAGCACUAGUCCCGCCCAUUGCCGCGCCAUGUCAGAACAUCUGUUACUUUCUGGAACAGCCCUUGUUACCAUACAGGUGUUUUAACAGUAUGAUAGUAUUUGGGUGAUUAAAUAUUUGUUUCUACUAUAUAACUGAUGGCACGAUUUUAAAAUGUCGUGUUUGGAGGUGAUUAUAAAGUGAGGAAUUAUUUUGGGAUAUUGUUCAAUAGAAGAAAAUAAACAAAACAUUUACUCUUAAUAUUAUAGUCUAUUUUGCUUCGUUGAGUGUCUGUAUUUCUCCACUUUUUUUAUCACUGUAAGUACAGUGUGUUUGAUACAUGCAAUAUUUGAAAUACAAAGUUUAGAAAUACACUACUGGCUUAUUUAAAUAAUUUUUUGAGAUAAAAGGUUUUAAACUUUGAUUAAGAACAUUUUGCUUUGGCCUUUUACUAAAAAGGCAACUGUGUAUACUUAGCAGUUUUGCUAGCAUCUUCUUUUCCAGAUGUUUGUUACAAAAUUUAAAGUAUAUUGUAGGUCACAUUAGUGAAUAAAAUUCAGUAUUGUAUUGAAAAUUAAACACUUUAUACUUAUAUAAUUCAGUUAUUUAAUUUUUGAUUACUGUAUAUGUGUUUGUAGUUGUUCCAAUAUGUUCCUGUUGUUAUAAUGAUUCAGAAAUGUAUUUUGUGUCAAUUAAUGAUUUUAGAAGAAAGUACUGAGUUGGAUCUAUUAUAUUUUGUACAAAGUCAAACUAAAAAACUCCAUAAAGAGGUAUACAUUAGUUUAAAAAAGAAAACAAAUUCUAGCUGUCUAAGAUCAUAAAUAAGGAUGGUCUGAAUUGUUAACUCUUCAAGUGUAGUCACAUGUAGACACUGAGGAAUGUCUAGAUAGUGUCAAGUAGCUUGAGAUGUUUGCACUCAAGGUGUUAAGUAAAAAUCUGCAAAAUGUUUAAACUAGGCUGAUUGUUUGGGAACAUUUAUGAGUGAAUUGGCAGCAGUGUAAAGGUUAAAGAUAAUUCUGAUAAGGUGGAGUUACAAGAUUUGUCAAUUUGGACAUUGAAUAGAACUGACUACAAUUAUCAAAUUCAGUUAGUAAAAUUUGUGCAAAUAAUAACCAUGUAAAAAUCAUUUAAUUUGUGAUUAUAAAAUGCUAGGGAAAUACAAUUAAUUACUAAGGUAGUUAACAUUGAGAAUACUUGUUUUUACGAGGGUCAUUGGGAAAGUAAGUUGCUUUAACCUUUGAGCUGGCAAUCUAGUUUGUUAGACAAGUUGUUGCAAUCCUCUUUUUAAAUAUUUGUUCAAAUAUGUCUAACCAUACCUAAAGUGAUGAAAUUUUCAUAUCUUUUUUUCUUUUAAAAGCUAAGAAGUUAAACUCUAUAUUAGAUAUUUGUAUGUGUAUAGAUUACUAGAUAUAGGUCAAUGUUUAUUUGAUCUUUUAAGUUCUAUGCAUAUACUCAAAGUUACGAGUUUGUCAACUUUUCAGUUAUUAGUGGAAAAAGUUUAUUUCACAAAAUAAACUAUACAAAUUAUAUUUUUUGGUUCAGUACUAAAUUUGGAAAUCUAGUGGUUUUCUUUGUGUGUAUUGGUUAUUAAAAAUAUAUUUUGUAAAAAACAACAAUAUGGUACUUCUUUUAUUUCGAUGUAGUUCAGGGAUUGUUUGCUAGUAUAGAUCUACGUAAUUACAGCUUGUAACAAUCCAUUCAAUUCUUAUAAGUGUCAUGUUCCGCAUGAUUACGUUAUUGUCAAACACACACUCAAAUAAAUAAAGGUGUAUAAUUAUUUUUAUAAAUAAGCUUACAAAACAGCCCAAAGGAGCUUGCUUCAAUUUAAGGAAAUUUCAAAUGACAGUUCCAGGGUUAAUAAAUACAAAUUCACACAAAACUUUAACAGCUUUUUCAUUAUAUACAUUUAAAAGAACAAAUCAAUCUAUUUUCAACAUACUUAACAAUUACAUUUAAUCACUUUUUAUUGAAGCAAAAGCUUUUAAAUACCAAUUGAAUAAAAUUCUUCAGCAUAUGUAACCAAUCACAGGCGCAGCAAUGAGCUGUGGCCCCACUCAAUUUAUUGACUUUUUUAUUGACAUCAAAAUAAGAAACGUAUGUUUCAUCACCAGUGGCUAUUUGGUUAAAAAAAAGUUGUCACCUUUUCCAUGGUACCAUUAGGAAAUUUUAAAAUAGGUCCCAUUCUUUGCUUUGAAUACAAGAAUUUGGGUACUCUUCAGACACAAAAUUGACAAUACCUUAGUUUCUCUCUCAGCCACAAUUUCAUACACUGUAGUUCCUUUUGUUUUAUUUAUGGAAAAUGUUCUGAUAUCUGAGUGUGAACCAUUGAUAUUUCCUUAACCUAAUAUCGAUUUGUUUGACAAUGUUACCGGUAACCACAUUAACUUUUCUAACAAAACAAUCAGCAUCAUUUUUAAUUGCAAUAGAGCUCCUAUCUUCUUUUUCCAUAGAACAGAAUUCAUGAUAAAUUUCCACAGGUUGCAUUUAUUUACCAAAAUAAAUCUAAAUUACGCUUAUGUACUUAAAAGUUUAUGGGAAAGUUGAUUUCAAACAGCUUUUAUCGGCCGGAUGCAUGCUUAAUGUUGCCACACAACACCAAUCAUAUAGCGCCACUACCUCCACCCGUUCAGCAAUCAGAUGCCACAGCAACUUAC